GCAUAUCAAUAAGCGGAGGAAAAGAAACCAACAGGGAUUGCCCUAGUAACGGCGAGUGAAGCGGCAACAGCUCAAAUUUGAAAUCUGGCCCUAGGCCCGAGUUGUAAUUUGCAGAGGAUGCUUCGGGCGCGGUGCCUUCCAAGUCCCCUGGAACGGGGCGCCGGAGAGGGUGAGAGCCCCGUACGGUUGGCGGCCAAGCCUGUGUGAAGCUCCUUCGACGAGUCGAGUAGUUUGGGAAUGCUGCUCUAAGCGGGAGGUAGACCCCUUCUAAAGCUAAAUAUAGGCCAGAGACCGAUAGCGCACAAGUAGAGUGAUCGAAAGAUGAAAAGCACUUUGAAAAGAGGGUUAAAUAGCACGUGAAAUUGUUGAAAGGGAAGCGCUUGUGACCAGACGUGCGCCGGGGUGUUCAGCGGGCGUUCUCGCCCGUGCACUCGCCUCGGCGCAGGCCAGCGUCGGUUCGAGUGGGAGGAUAAAGGCGUCUGGAAUGUGGCUCCUCCGGGAGUGUUAUAGCCAGACGUGCCAUGCUCCCGCCCGGACCGAGGUACGCGUUCUGCAAGGACGCUGGCGUAAUGGUCUCCAGCGACCCGUCUUGAAACACGGACCAAGGAGUCGAGGUUUUGCGCGAGUGUUUGGGUGUUAAACCCGCACGCGUAAUGAAAGUGAACGUAGGUGGGAGCUUCGGCGCACCACCGACCGAUCCUGAUGUUUUCGGAUGGAUUUGAGUAAGAGCGUAGGGCCUCGGACCCGAAAGAUGGUGAACUAUGCUUGGAUAGGGUGAAGCCAGAGGAAACUCUGGUGGAGGCUCGCAGCGGUUCUGACGUGCAAAUCGAUCGUCAAAUCUGAGCAUGGGGGGCGAAAGACUAAUCGAACCAUCUAGUAGCUGGUUACUGCCGA
rnacentral:rRNA from 1 species